GUGUGUGUGUGUGUGUGUGUGUAUUUAGCAGUCUGUGUGUGUAUUCAUCAGACUGUGUACUCAGCAGUCUGUGUGUGUGUAUUCAGCAGUCUGCUAAAUACAGACAGACUGCUAAAUACACACAGACAGACUG
rnacentral:miRNA from 1 species